CAUCCAAAACAACAGUGACUGGACAACUGAGGGAGGUGAGUGGUGUACUUAAAAGUCCUGUGUGAUGAGGUGCUGACAGGGUACAGGUGUGUGUGAUCAGCUGAUGGUGGAGUGAUUGCAGGUGAGGGCUAGGGAGGAUGAUGGGAGAUGGAGUCCAGGACAGAUGGAGACUGUGACAUAAAUAGUAUGAUGGCUUGACAGGUUGAGUUGAGUUCAACAGUAAAGGCCAGAGGACCAAUUACACCCUCCAUAUUCUGGAGAAGCACAGGGGAGGCCACAAAGAGAUUGGGAUCUGGUACUCUAAUAACACUCUACUGUUGAACUCCACCAGUCUGGACAUCAGCGUCUCUGAGACUCUGGCUAACAAGAGCCUCAUCAUCACCACCAUACUGUACUCCUAUAUACCAGCUAUUUAUUCCUAGGAAAAGGAAGUAACAACUAAACCUGAUUGGGAUGUCAUAUGGGCCAGAUGUUUCAUUGCAUCUAAGAACACAUCAGAGAGCAUCAGAUAAUCCACUAUAAACUUAUUAAUAGGGCUUAGAUUACUCCAAGUUUAUUGUAUAAAAUGAAGAUCAGAUCUGAUCCUUAUUGUCAUCUAUGUAAUAAUUCUAUAGGUUUGUAUUUGCACAUGUUCUGGGAAUGUCCUAAGGUGGUACCUUUAUGGACAUUUGUAUGGCCCUCUCUGAUGUUUUACAUCUAGAAAUACCUCAGGACCCCUUGAUCUUCCUGCUCGUAGAUGACUCUACACUUCAGCUAAAUAUUCAUCAAAAGAGGAUCCUAUUGGCUGCAGAUAUCUUAAAACUAUGGAUUGAACCAUCCACCUCUUCUACUUCCAUCUGGCUUUCUUACUUCAGAGACAUUACCUUGCUUGAGGGCACCACUGCUAAACUCAAUGGGGCCAAGGACAGAACUAUUCAAAGCUGGUCAAUAACCGCUGAGAUGUUGUUAGAAAAACUAAAACCUUGACUUCCCAAUUAUGUGUAGCCUACUUGUUUUAUGUAAUCAUUUUACUUUGUUCUGGAAAUUUUCAUGGCAUCUGUUUGUAUAUAGUUCAUUGAAUCUGUGAUAAUGUUUCUGAGACUUAUAAUAUAAUGUUAAUCAAAUAUUGUGAUUAAUUGUGAUUAAUUUGAAUAAGAAAUUGACAUAUAAAGUAAUUCAUUUGUAAUUAAUUUUCAUUAAGAAAUUAAACUCAUGGGAACUGAUUUCAGGUUUUAAUAACCUUAGAGAGACCAACUGUUUUAUAACAAAA